UUAUAGUUUUUGACAAAGUUUAGGAUACCACAUCCAGGAAGAGUUGGAGGGAGCUUUUUUAUCGACCUUGCAAUGCCUUUAAUGUUGAGUUGGGUCCACGGCGGUAAUGAUAAGGAAUCUUGGUAAUUUCCUUUGAUGCAAGUUCAGGGGAUUCACAUCUUUUUUGUCUACAAAAUCAUGGUCGGGAUCUUGCCUCUAUGACCUCUUAUGUGCGGACCCCUCAACAAAUUGGUAUUGCCAACAGAGGGAUGGUCGGAUGACCUCUUAUUU